rnacentral:rRNA from 1 species
UACGUAGGGAGCAAGCGUUGUUCGGAUUUACUGGGCGUAAAGGGCGCGUAGGCGGCGCGGUAAGUCACUUGUGAAAUCUCUGAGCUUAACUCAGAACGGCCAAGUGAUACUGCAGUGCUAGAGUGCGGAAGGGGCAACUGGGAAUUCUUGGUGUAGCGGUGAAAUGCGUAGAUAUCAGGAGGAACACCGGUGGCGAAGGCGGGUCUCUGGGCCGAUACUGACGCUGGAGGAGCGAAAGCGUGGGGAGCGAACAGG